AGAAAAGCUGUCUGUGAAAUUAAAGGAAGAAGAACGAAUGGUUGAGAUGUUUCUGGAAUAUCAAAAUCAGAUCAGCAAGCAAAAUAAGCUCAUUCAAGAAAAAAAGGAUAACUUGUUAAAAUUGAUUGCUGAAGUAAAAGGCAAAAAGCAGGAAUUGGAAGUACUGACUGCAAAUAUCCAGGAUCUUAAGGAAGAAUAUUCUAGGAAGAAGGAAACUAUUUCUACUGCUAAUAAAGCGAAUGCAGAGAGGUUGAAAAGGCUGCAGACAUCUGCAGACUUGUAUAAAGAUCGACUUGGACUAGAAAUUCGAAAAAUUUAUGGUGAGAAAUUGCAGUUUAUUUUCACUAAUAUUGACCCUAAGAAUCCUGAGAGCCCAUUUAUGUUUUCCUUGCAUCUCAAUGAAGCAAGGGACUAUGAAGAGUAAAAAACAUACAAACAAGAAAAAAAGGAGCAGAGGCUGAUGCCAAGAGAAAACUCUCCUCUUUUGGAACAAAGCACAUUCAUGUGCUA
rnacentral:sRNA from 1 species